rnacentral:lncRNA from 1 species
AGGCAGACAUCUGUCGUGGGAAAAUUUUGGACUGGAUUUUUGCUGAGAUCCUUUCUACCUCUAAGAUUCUGUGUAUUAUGGUUUUGGACUACUAAUUGCUAUUUUAGAUGAAAUGUUUAGAGAUGCAACCCUGCUGUCCCUCUACACCUGGCCCCAACACCCUUGUUAGGUAAGAAGAGUAGGUAGUGUUAUUUCUUUUUUUUUUUGAGAUGGAGUCUUNNNNNNNNNNCGCCUCAUAGCCAGAGAAUGAAUGUAUGGCCAUGUACAUAUAAUUUGUACUUUUUGAAGUAUAUUGAAAUUUUCUUUCAUUUAUUACUAAAUUUUUUAAAAAUAUAUUUUUACGUAGAGACAGGUCUCACUAUGCUGCUCAGGCUGGUCUCCAACUCCUGGGCUAAAACUAUUCUCCUGCCUCAGCCUCCCAAAGUGUUGGGAUUACAGACGUGAGACACCGCCUGGCCUAUAUUGAGAUUUUCUAUGUAGCCUCAUUCAUAGAGGCUACAUACAGGCUCAGGAGUAUUCUGAGGUCAACUGAAAAGACUGCAUGUGAAUAUAUACGUGUGUAUGUAUGUGUAAAUAUAUGUGCAUAUG